UUUGGACUGGGAGCUAUUCGUUAUGUGGCUUAAUCGUUAUUCUUUUCAAUCAAAUUGAUCGACAUCUGUAAAGGUCCUUGCCCUUCGAGCCAGCCAUCCUUGGCCCUCCCUAAUCAGGGACUCAUCAAAGAGAGACCCUACAGACUGAGAUCGGAGGUUUUCUGCUUCUUCUGAAAACCAUGUCCCUCAAGAUAAUUACAUCAGAAAAGGUGCAGGCGCCCGGAGGGUGGGGGUGAGAAGCCUCGGAGGGGCAUUGGCAAUGCGUGGGAGGAGAGCACAACCGUUAGCCUGAGCCUUCCGGUCUUGACCUGAAAUGAACACCUCCCAUACUGGGCUUGACUACUACCACCAUCUCUUCUCAACCUUGCAUUUGCUGGCCAAGUUCUUUCAGAUCCCACCGUCUAGAGUUCGGGAACCUUCCCCGCGUCCUCCAGCGGUCGUUUACCCCCAAGACCAUCGCCAAAGGCGCUUUGGGGACUGAGGCAAAGUCUGAGAAGAAAAGUUCCUGCCCAGAGCCUUUAAACGAGCUUAAAUUCCUCUCCCCAAAAUCUCAUCCUUCUUGGUAACGCUAGGGUAGUCAGCUACCUACAGACCGCUUGGUGCUCAGCUCCCACUGGUUUCCUUAUUAAAUGUACCUUUCUUCCUUUAA